rnacentral:rRNA from 1 species
UACGGAGGGGGCUAGCGUUGUUCGGAAUUACUGGGCGUAAAGCGUGCGCAGGCGGUUUUGUAAGACAGGUGUGAAAUCCCCGGGCUUAACCUGGGAACUGCAUUUGUGACUGCAAGACUAGAGUGUGGCAGAGGGGGGUAGAAUUCCACGUGUAGCAGUGAAAUGCGUAGAGAUGUGGAGGAAUACCGAUGGCGAAGGCAGCCCCCUGGGAUAACACUGACGCUCAUGUACGAAAGCGUGGGUAGCAAACAGG